rnacentral:rRNA from 2 species
UGGUGAACCUGCGGAAGGAUCAUUACAGAGUUCAUGCCCUUAUGGGUAGAUCUCCCACCCUUGAAAUAUCUACCUUUGUUGCUUUGGCAGGCCGUGGCCUCCGCUACCGGCUUCGGCUGGUGAGUGCCUGCCAGAGGACCCAACUCUUGUUUAUAGUGAUGUCUGAGUACUAUAUAAAUAGUUAAAACUUUCAACAACGGAUCUCUUGGUUCUGGCAUCGAUGAAGAACGCAGCGAAAUGCGAUAAGUAAUGUGAAUUGCAGAAUUUAGUGAAUCAUCGAAUCUUUGAACGCACAUUGCGCCCCUUGGUAUUCCGAGGGGCAUGCCUGUUCGAGCGUCAUAUCACCAAUCAAGCCUGGCUUGGUAUUGGGGCCCGCUGUAUAGCGGCCUCUAAACUCAGUGGCGGUGCCGUUAGGCUCUCAGCGUAGUAAUUAUUCUCGCUACAGGGUCUUACGGUUACUUGCCAUAACCCCAACUUCUUAAGGUUGACCUCGGAUCAGGUAGGGAUACCCGCUGAACUUAAGCAUAUCAAUAAGCGGAGGA